GUUUGGUGUAUACUGUGGAUUGCUAUUGCAGAUUGUGCUGGAAACUUGCUGUGUGGCACUAGACACCAUCCAGGUGCAGCACUCCGGCUUACAGCCAUCUGCAGCAUAUGAAAUUUGGAGAAAGAGAGAUGCUGGUUCUUCAGUAGGUUAAGGAUCCUGUUCCCCAGUAUCUUCAUGAGGCUACUGACCAGUUCAAGAAUACUGGAGCAUGCUCAGAGCAGCUUUCAAAGGUUACAGAGCAAAGAAGCCCAUGCUACAAACCUUGAGAAGCAUACUCUCGUGACAUACAGACAAAGUAAAGAAGUUAUGGAAAGGACAUGGUAAGCUAUGGCAUGAUCCAGAGCCCUCAGAAGCCAACAAAAAUGCGAAGGAAAAUCCUCUCCAGGGGUUUCACAGCAUGGGUGUGUGGCAAGGGAGACCUUUUCUACUCUGACUCUGAAAACUGAGCUAUGCAGCAAACUGAGCAUCAGUGCAGCUUUAGUAACUGACUCCGACUCAGCCUCUCCUAUGGAUUUGCUAUUUGAUGUUUUCCUCCUAGCUCCUGAUUCACCCUGCAAUAUUCCAGAUUCCCAC
rnacentral:lncRNA from 14 species